AUUGAACGCUGGCGGCAUGCCUUACACAUGCAAGUCGAACGGCAGCACGGGAGCAAUCCUGGUGGCGAGUGGCGAACGGGUGAGUAAUAUAUCGGAACGUGCCCAGUCGUGGGGAUAACGUAGCGAAAGCUACGCUAAUACCGCAUACGAUCUACGGAUGAAAGCGGGGGAUCGCAAGACCUCGCGCGAUUGGAGCGGCCGAUAUCAGAUUAGGUAGUUGGUGAGGUAAAGGCUCACCAAGCCGACGAUCUGUAGCUGGUCUGAGAGGACGACCAGCCACACUGGGACUGAGACACGGCCCAGACUCCUACGGGAGGCAGCAGUGGGGAAUUUUGGACAAUGGCGCAAGCCUGAUCCAGCAAUGCCGCGUGCAGGA
rnacentral:rRNA from 1 species